rnacentral:rRNA from 1 species
GGGUCAGUAGGUUGGUCGUGCCACCGGUACGUACUGGUCUCACUGAUUCCUCCCUCCUGAAGAACCGUAAUGCCAUUAAUUUGGUGUUGCGGGGAAACAGGACUGUUACUUUGAAAAAAUUAGAGUGUUUAAAGCAAGCUAACGCUUGAAUACAUUAGCAUGGAAUAAUGAAAUAGGACGAUCGAUCCUAUUUUGUUGGUUCCUAGGAUUGACGUA